rnacentral:tRNA from 1 species
CGUAGCUCAGUCGGUAGAGCGCAUCCUUGGUAAGGAUGAGGUCACCGGUUCAAAAUGUCAAAGGA